rnacentral:rRNA from 1 species
AUUGAACGCUGGCGGCAGGCCUAACACAUGCAAGUCGAGCGGAGUGGGGACGGGUGAGUAACACGUGGGUAACCUCCCAUCAGAGGGGAAAACACUUGGAAACAGGUGCUAAACCGAUACUGAUGGAUGGACCCGGCGGGCAUUAGCGAGAUGGGGAGGUAACGGCGCACCAAGGCAACGAUGCAUAGCCGACCUGAGAGGGUGAUCGGCCACACGGGGACUGAGACACGGCCCAGACUCCUACGUGAGGCAGCAGUAGGGAAUCUUGGGCAAUGGGCGAAAGUCUGACCGAGCAACGCGGCGGGAGUGAAGAAGGUUUUCGGAUCGUAAAACUCUGUUGUUAGAGAAGCGGUAUCUAACCAGAAAGCCACGGCUAACUACGUGCCAGCAGCCGCGGUAAUAC